rnacentral:rRNA from 1 species
UACGGAGGGUGCGAGCGUUGUCCGGAAUCACUGGGCGUAAAGGGCGCGUAGGUGGCGCGGGAAGUCAACGGUGAAAGUUCAGGGCUCAACCCUGAAUCGGCCGUCGAUACUCCCGGGCUUGAGCACUGUAGAGGCAGAUGGAAUUCCGGGUGUAGCGGUGGAAUGCGUAGAGAUCCGGAAGAACACCGGUGGCGAAGGCGGUCUGCUGGGCAGUUGCUGACACUGAUGCGCGACAGCGUGGGGAGCCAAACAGG